AGCGGCGAACGGGUGAGUAACACGUGGGCAACCUGCCCUCAGCUCUGGGAUAACUCCAAGAAAUUGGUGCUAAUACCGGAUGUGACCGCUGACCGCAUGGUCUGGUGGUGGAAAGAUUCAUCGGCUGAGGAUGGGCCCGCGGCCUAUCAGCUUGUUGGUGGGGUGAUGGCCUACCAAGGCGACGACGGGUAGCCGGCCUGAGAGGGUGACCGGCCACACUGGGACUGAGACACGGCCCAGACUCCUACGGGAGGCAGCAGUGGGGAAUAUUGCGCAAUGGGCGAAAGCCUGACGCAGCGACGCCGCGUGGGGGAUGACGGCCUUCGGGUUGUAAACCUCUUUCAGUAGGGACGAAGCGGAAGUGACGGUACCUACAGAAGAAGCACCGGCCAACUACGUGCCAGCAGCCGCGGUAAUACGUAGGGUGCAAGCGUUGUCCGGAAUUAUUGGGCGUAAAGAGCUCGUAGGCGGUCUGUCGCGUCGGCUGUGAAAACCCGAGGCUCAACCUCGGGCCUGCAGUCGAUACGGGCAAACUAGAGUGUUGCAGGGGAGACUGGAAUUCCUGGUGUAGCGGUGAAAUGCGCAGAUAUCAGGAGGAACACCGGUGGCGAAGGCGGGUCUCUGGGCAACAACUGACGCUG
rnacentral:rRNA from 1 species